GGCUGACCUUAACCUCUUGUAAUGGUGAACAUCCCCAAACAAAAGCUUAAAAAAAAAAAAAACUUCUGAAGUCACGCCCUGUUUUGACCUGUUUAGGCUUCUGUACCAAAACAAAGGAACACUGGUGACUGUGUGGUCCUUAAACAACAACCGUUAUUUCCUACUAAAGCAAACAAAUGAAACCCCAGGGCCUUUCUGACAGUUAAUCUGCCUUUAAGGCAUCACUUUCUCUAAGAACCCCCCCAUCCCACCCCACCAUCACCACCCCAGCAUAUUCCCCAGGGUCAGAGUUUUGGGCUUACUUCUAUCCUUCACUUUCAAAAAAGCCAUCCCUUCCGACUGAAAUGUCCUUCUUUGAAAGCCCCUAGUCAUGUUACAAAAUCCCAGGCAGUUAUCAGAGCUUCAGACCUGUCCUUUUCCUGUGGCCUAUGGAUGGAUUCUUUACAGCUCUGGCUUCUCCUUGGCAGCCACAAUGCCAAGGAGUUGAUCUUGGAGACCCAAGGGUGUGAUCAUGAAGUUGAGGAGACAGACUUUCACGGCAACUUCAGGGAGAUAAUGUGGAUUCCUCAGACGAGUGGUUAUAUAGAACUUAAAUUCCCUUGAGUAUUCAAUAAUAUUUUCACCCAGUCUCAUGUACUCCACCCCCUGCUGUUUGAAUGUUGCCUUCAGCAAGAUGGGUUCAAUAAAGGCAUCCAGCUCUUCUCCAACGUUUUCCAACAAGACAGGGGUGCCAAACUGCAGGGCAUUUUCCAGAGUCCUCACGUAAUUGGUAUCAGAGAACUUGAUGACAGAUAGCUUGUUUGUUUUUUCCAUAUUCUUCACCCACUUAUUGGCCUGUCCCUGAGGGUCAAUCAUCAAAGGCCAGCGCCUGGAAUUGGACACAAUGAUGCCAUUGUCAACAGAGAAGGAGUCAACAGGAAGCCCUGCUAUCUGCCAGGCACGGAUUUUUAUGGGGUCCCCUAAGGUGUUGCUGAGGCUAAAAUCAACGGAGCCUGGGAUGACCUUGUCCUUACAGGAAACCAACCAUUCAUUUUGGCAUUGGGCCCGAUAAUCCACCGUGAAGGCACCCAGAUGCAGCCGUCAAGGCUAGCCUGUCUUUGCUGCACAGAUGCCAGGAUGACAGACACUUGCCAGGAGUGCCAAGAAUUUGCCAGCUCAAGAAACUGCCACACUCGUGAAUCCAGUGUUGGGGGCUAUCUCCAUCUCUUUCAGUCUCCAAAUCUUCUUUGCACGAGUUCUUCUUGCUCUGUGGGACUUGUGACUUGUGUAUUAGGUCCAGUGUUCGACAUGCUCCCAUUGUAAGAGACUGUAGAAGUAUGGAGAAGUGUAGCAGGCCCCAUGUGGAGAAAGAUCACAGCCCUGAAAACUUCAGGAGGACACUGUCCAAGAAAAGCCUCAGGGAAACUGUGGGGCAAGACUGGGUUUUUUCUCCUCCUCCCUAGAUGGUUUCUUUCACCUGACUCACCUUCAGGACUUGCAGGAUCUGGACUACGAUGGCACCACAUCAGACCUCGCCCUUCCCACUGAAACCUAAGGUGGCGGUUUAUUGCCCAGGGCGUGGUGAGAAGUCUCUGUCAGUUCCUCAUAAAUCCCAUGGCAUUGCUCAUCUACCUCCUGACAUAGCAGAUUUGCUUCUUCCCCUGACAUUCCAGAGCACAAUCCUGCCUGGGCUGUUCCCUUCCUGAUGGUUCCUAUACUUGGUGAGAAGCUAGGCUAGCACACUGAGUAGAGAUGAAGAAGAACAGCUGUUUCAGAGAACCACCAAUGUGGACCUCUAGCCACACACCUUUACGUACUCUCUACUCAUUUGUGUAUUUACUUAUUUAUCUGUCUGAGUAUUUUCCUGUAUGUAUAUAUGUAUACCACAUAUAUGCCCGGUGCCUGGGAAGACUCGGAAAGGGUGUCAGACUCCCCUGGAAUUAAAGUUGCUGACUCAUGUAAGCCUUCAUGUGGGUCCUGUGCCAGAGCUACUAGUGCUUUUAGACACUGAGAAAUCUCUCCAGCCCACGUGGUUUUUUGUUUUCUAUUUUCCUCAGUAAUCUUAAUCUGUUGAUGCAGAAACCGAGGCUAGGGAGGAGCAGAGUUGGUCGUGCACUUUGGCUGCCUGGUUAUAGAACAGAAUUAUAAAUGAGCUGUAAAGUCACACACAUCCAGGGGCCAGGGCACUGAGGCAAGAACAGGAACUGAACUGGAUGGAGCUGGGGAGGCUAGAACUCAAAAGGUCGGCAGCUUCUUACUCCUGAGAAUGGGCACAACCCAAGAAAGCAGAGCCCAUGUCGCUAGAGUCCUAAUUAUUUUUUCUCCCUAAGGAAAAGCAAAAGUUUCAGAAUUUUUACUUGAAAUGACUUGCAUUUUAAAGGUUAACUAUUUCUGACUUCAAAUGAAACAUCCCUGAGUGUGGUUGUGAUGCACACACUUACGGUCCUAGCACUCAGGAGGCUGAGGCAGGAGGCUCAUGAGCUCAAGGUCAGUCUGGGAUACCUAGCAAGUCCCUGCCUCAAAAUGAGUCAAUAGAAUCUUCUCUGCAUCCCAGGACACAUGUGGUCCCCAGCUGCCAGUCUGCAACGUCUGGAUUCAUGGUCAAGUGCCAUGGUUUGUGGGUCAAAGAGCUCUUGGUCUGAAUCAUGCCACUUGGUGGUCAUGCAACUUUGGAAACAUCUUGUGUCACGAUUUCCUCAUAUGUCAAGUGGGAAUAAUUCGGUAUGAUGUGUAUUGUAGUGUACGUAGGAUUCAAGAGAAUGAGCACCAGAGAAUAUAAUCUCCACGAGGAAAAGGAUUUUAUUUAUCUUAUUCAUUCCUACUUUCCUUGACAAAAAAAAAAAAAAAA